UACGUAGGCAGCAAGCGUUGUUCGGAAUUACUGGGCGUAAAGCGAGUGUAGGUGGUGCUAUAAGUUUGGUGUGAAAUCUCCCGGCUCAACUGGGAGGGUGCGCCGAAGACUGUAGUGCUAGAGUGUGGGAGAGGUAGGCGGAAUUCCUGGUGUAGCGGUGAAAUGCGUAGAUAUCAGGAGGAACACCUGCGGUGUAGACGGCUUACUGGACCACGACUGACACUGAAACUCGAAAGUGUGGGGAGCAAACAGG
rnacentral:rRNA from 1 species